rnacentral:rRNA from 1 species
AGUGAACGCUGGCGGUAGGCCUAACACAUGCAAGUCGAACGGCAGCACAGUAAGAGCUUGCUCUUACGGGUGGCGAGUGGCGGACGGGAGAGGAAUACAUCGGACUCUACUUUUUCGUGGGGGAUAACGUAGGGAAACUUACGCUCAUACCGCAUACGACCUACGGGGGAAAGCAGGGGAUCUUCGGACCUUGCGCGAUUGAAUGAGCCGAUGUCGGAUUAGCUAGUUGGCGGGGUAAAGGCCCACCAAGGCGACGAUCCGUAGCUGGUCUGAGAGGAUGAUCAGCCACACUGGAACUGAGACACGGUCCAGACGCCUACGGGAGGCAGCAGUGGGGAAUAUUGGACAAUGGGCGCAAGCCUGAUCCAGCCAUACCGCGUGGGUGAAGAAGGCCUUCGGGUUGGAAAGCCGUUUUGUUGGGAAAGAAAAGCAGCAGGUUAAUACCCCGCUGUUCUGACGGUACCCGAAGAAGAAGCACCGGCUAACUUCGUG